rnacentral:rRNA from 1 species
UACAGAGGGGGCAAGCGUUGUUCGGAAUUACUGGGCGUAAAGAGUGCGUAGGCGGCUAUGUAAGACAGAUGUGAAAUCCCUGGGCUUAACCUAGGAACUGCAUUUGUGACUGCAUGGCUAGAGUGUGGUAGAGGGAGAUGGAAUUCCGCAUGUAGCAGUGAAAUGCGUAGAUAUGCGGAGGAACACCGAUGGCGAAGGCAGCCAUCUGGACCGACACUGACGCUGAGGCGCGAAAGCGUGGGGAGCAAACAGG